UCCUACGGGGGGCAGCAGUGGGGAAUAUUGGACAAUGGGCGAAAGCCUGAUCCAGCAAUGCCGCGUGAGUGAUGAAGGCCUUCGGGUUGUAAAGCUCUUUUGGCGGGGACGAUUAUGACGGUACCCGCAGAAUAAGCUCCGACUAACUUCGUGCCAGCAGUCGCGGUAAUACGAAGGGGGCUAGCGUUGCUCGGAAUUACUGGGCGUAAAGGGCGUGUAGGCGGCCUGCCAAGUCAGAUGUGAAAGCCCCGGGCUUAACCUGGGAACUGCAUUUGAUACUGGUAGGCUAGAGUUCGGGAGAGGACAGUAGAAUUGCUAGUGUAGAGGUGAAAUUCGUAGAUAUUAGCAGGAACACCGGUGGCGAAAGCGGCUGUCUGGAACGUAACUGACGCUGAGGCGCGAAAGCGUGGGGAGCAAACAGGAUUAGAUACCCUGGUAGUC
rnacentral:rRNA from 1 species